AUGAGGGCUGCAUUCUCCUCGCCCCCGCCGCCCCCGCCGCCCCCACUGCCUAACUCUGCUGGGACCAUACCGCCCCCACCUCCCCUCCCGGGCCUGGGGGGCCCGCCCCGCCGCCGCCCCUGCCCUGCGUCCCCGGGCCCCCUGCCGUGGGCGACGCGGAGGAGAUCAUCGUGGCCCAGGUGGACAGCGGCCUGGGCUCGGCCUGGGUCCCCCGCCACCGGCGCGUGAACCCUCCCACCCUGCGCAUGAAGAAGCUGAACUGGCAGAAGCUGCCAUCCAGUGUGGCCCGCGAGCACAGCUCCAUGUGGGCAACGUUGAGCAGCCCCGACGCCGAGGUGGUGGAGCCCGACUUCUCCAGCAUCGAGCGGCUCUUCUCCUUCCCCACGGCCAAACCCAAGGAGCAGGCGGUGGCCCCGGCCAGGAAGGAGCCCAAGGAGAUCACUUUUCUGGACUCCAAGAAGAGCCUGAACCUCAACAUCUUCCUAAAGCAGUUUAAAUGCUCCAACGAGGAGAUCACUGCCAUGAUCCGGGCGGGGGACAGCACCAAGUUCGACGUGGAAGUCCUCAAGCAGCUCCUCAAGCUCCUUCCGGAGAAGCACGAGAUUGAGAACCUGCGCUCCUUCACGGAGGAUCAGGCCAGGCUUGCCAGCGCCGACCAGUUCUACCUCCUCCUGCUGAGCAUCCCCUGCUACCAGCUUCGGAUCGAGUGCAUGCUGCUGUGUGAGGGCACGGCUGUCGUGUUGGACAUGGUGCGGCCUAAGGCCCAGCUGCUGCUCGCCGCCUGUGAGAGCCUGCUCACCAGUCGCCGGCUGCCGGUCUUCUGCCAGCUGAUCCUGAAAAUCGGGAACUUUCUCAACUACGGCAGCCACACUGGGGACGCCGAUGGAUUCAAGAUAAGCACACUGCUGAAGCUCACAGAGACCAAGUCCCAGCAGAGCCGGGUCACACUGCUGCACCACGUGCUGGAGGAAGUGGAGGAGAGCCACCCUGACCUCCUGCAGCUGCCCCAGGACCUGGAGCUGCCCGCCCGAGCCGCAGGGAUCAACCUUGAUGCUGUCCACUCGGAGUCCACCACUAACCUGAAGAAGCUCCUGGAGAUGGAGCGGAAGCUGUCCUCCUCCGUCCCGGAGGUGCAGGAGCAGUACGCCCACCGCCUCCAGGCCAGCAUCACAGACUCACAGGCUCUGGAGGAGGUGUUCCAGGCUAUCGAGCAGAAGCAGCUGGAGCUGGCUAGUUACCUGUGUGAGGAUGCCCAGCAGCUGUCCCUGGAGGGCACGCUCAGCACCAUGAAAACCUUCCGGGAUCUCUUCCUCCGCGCCCUGAAGGAGAACAAGGAUCGGAAGGAGCAGGCGGCCAAGGCUGAGAGGAGGAAGCAGCAGCUGGCGGAGGAGGAGGCCCGCAGGCCGCGGGGCGCGGGCGGCAAGGCAGCCAGGAGAGGAGGCGGGAAGCAGGAAGAGGUGUGUGUCAUCGACGCCCUGCUGGCUGACAUCAGGAAGGGCUUCCAGCUGCGCAAGACGGCCCGCGGCCGAGGGGACGCAGAGGCGGCCAGCAGGGCACCCACCACCGACCCCCCGAGGAACAAGGCACCUGCCACCACCAGGGAUGCCGUGGGAGGUGCCAGCCCCCCCAGCUCUGAGCCUGGUCUGGACGCUGCAGCCGCCAGGGAGCCCCAGAGCUGGGACCUCGCGGAUGCCACUCCCACCAGCCUCCAGCCCACUGGAGACUCAUCAGAGAUGGGUGGCCCUGGGUCCCUGGAGAGGCGCUCUUCCUGGUACACAGAUGCCAGUGAUUUCCUGCCCAUGGAGAACCCCCAGGGCCCCCAGCCCCCUGCAGGGGCUUGGCCAGUGGUACUGGGAGACGCUCAAGUCCUGAAGCCACUCGACUUCAGUGACCAGCCCCCCAAAGCCAUGGAUCUGAGGCCAGACGCUGAGGAGCCCCCGGCCGCAUUGGGUGCCCACCAGGCCGAGGCCAGCAGCACAGAUGAGGGCCCGGAGGAUGCAGCUGCCCACUGCCGCCACACCGGCCUCCCCGCUGCAGGCCCUGAUGAGGACGGGGACGGGGAGCUCACGGCCCCAGACUCCUCUCUGGACACCUCCCUGGACAGGUCCUUCUCUGAGGAUGCGGUGACUGACUCCUCGGGGUCCAGCACCCUCCCCAGGGCUCAGGGCCGGACGUCAAAGGGCACAGGGAAACGGAGGAAGAAACGCCCCUCCAGGAACCAGGAAGAGGUUGCCCCCGACCCUGACGAUAAUAAAACAAAAAGGCUCUGUGUGAUCCAGUGAGACCAGUUUGAGCCGUCGGGACACGCUGCCCCUGGGCUCGUCCCUGGCCCCCAGGUCAGAGCCACCCCCCCCCCAUACCUGGACAGUGAGCCGGCCUCCCUGCAGCCUCAGGGCGGCCCCGCGUCUCCAUCUGCCUGUUGUGACCCUUGCUUUGCUUUUCUGGACCGAGGUCCUGCCAGGACCGCACACCCAGUCCCCCCCGUGUUGCGUGACGCUGAAGACACAAGUCACUUUGCCACCCUGUCCGUCCCCCGCCGGGUCCAGACCGCACGGGGGCAGGGCCCACAGCCAGUGCCGGGAAUCCUGCCCAGAGCACUUAAGGAGGGGCCCGUGGGCCUGUCUGCCCGGCGCUCGGCGGCACGGACGCCAGCUGAGAGGCCAGCUGCCGAUUCCGGCGGACCCUCCGCGGCCCGAGCGGGGCCUUCGCCCUGGGGCCUCAGGCCCAGGUCCAGAGCCAAGUGAGAGGAGCCAUGGCAAGGCUGCUGGGCGAGCUGCUGGGCGGGGCCCCGGGCCAGGCUGGGCCAGCCCCCAGGAAGCCCAGACUCCGUGCCUUACCUUACCCGGCCUCACCGCGGCCUCUCGGAGCCUAGGGCCGUUGAGGCCAGGACCCCCUGGCGCCCCCUGGCCUGCCUGCACGCCCCUGCCCUCGUGGUUUGCUUCCUAAAUGCCGCUGCCCAGCCCCGACCCACACGGCAUGCACCACCCAGGGGGGGCGGGCCAAGUGGCUGCAUCCGGGGCACCCCGAGCUUGUGACCUGGCUCCCAGAUUACCCUGGGGAUAGGCCCUCACAGACCUCCCCGCCGAAGCGACGGAGCCAGGGAGGACCGGAGCCCCCGCUCCACAGCUCUGCCCCAACUCACUCAGCUGGGCUGAAGCAGUCGUUUUUUAACUGAAAUGGGAUGAUCUGUGGGUUUCUACUGUUUUGUGUGGCCGAGCUGGGGACAGGUAGGUGGGUGAGAGGACCCAGGGCCUUUGGGUAGAGGCAGGCUGUCUGGCCGUGCAUGGGAGAGCCAGGGCCCCUCUACUCAGAAGAGGGGGAACCCCGUGGAAUCGGCACCCAUCCCCGCACCUCCAGCCCUGAGGUGGGGAGGGGGCUGCCCUUGGGGUCCUUUCGUCAACAAGACACCCGGCCUGCAACUGCUGCCCCCUCCUCCAGGCCCCGCUGGGCUGAGGGGAGGCCAGGAUCCAGGCUGAGGGGCCAGAGGGGCUGCCAUCUCUCCUCGCUGACCUGUGGGCCCCUUGCACUGCCCCCACCCUAUGUGUGUGUGCUACCAAGACUGGAGAAACUUUGGCCAAUAAAGAACAAGGCUAGCCCA